rfam:Shewanella sp. YQH10 contig10, whole genome shotgun sequence.
ACAACAUGGCAAAGAAGAAAGGCCAGAAUUUCAGUCCUGAAUUCAGACUGGAAACAGCACAACUGGUUGUUGACCAGGGGUACACGAGUAAAGAAGCUGCUGAAGCGAUGGGAGUUGGUUAUUC